rnacentral:rRNA from 1 species
GUGUCAGCAGCCGCGGUAAUACGGAGGGUGCAAAUGUUGCUCGGAAUCAUUGGGCGUAAAGCGCACGUAGGCGGGCUAGUAAGCCGGAUGUGAAAGCCCUCGGCUUAACUGAGGAAGUGCAUUCGAGACUGCUAACCUUGAGUACAGAAGAGGGUCGCGGAAUUCCCGGUGUAGAGGUGAAAUUCGUAGAUAUCGGGAGGAACACCAGUGGCGAAGGCGGCGACCUGGGCUGAUACUGACGCUGAGGUGCGAAAGCGUGGGGAGCAAACAGGAUUAGAAACCCUUGUAGUCC